UGAAUACGAGAUGCUACGGCGUCGAAGCAGUCUAUGUCAUACUUCCAAGAAAAGCUCGCACUGUCAUAAACAAAUAAUGCCUGUACCAUAACCGACACAGGUGGGUAGGUAGAGUAUACUAAGGGGCGCGAGAUAACUCUCUCUAAGGAACUCGGCAAAAUGACUCCGUAACUUCGGGAGAAGGAGUGCCUUAUUUAUAAGGUUGCAAUAACAAGAUCCAAGCAACUGUUUAUCAAAAACACAGGUCUCCGCUAAGUCGUAAGACGAUGUAUGGGGGCUGACGCCUGCCCAGUGCCAGAAGGUUAAAGAAGUUGGUUAGCAUUCGCGAAGCUGAUAACUGAAGCCCUGGUGAACGGCGGCCGUAACAAUAACGGUCCUAAGGUAGCGAAAUUCCUUGUCGGGUAAGUUCCGACCCGCACGAAAGGCGUAAUGAUUUGGAUACUGUCUCGGAGAGGGGCUCGGUGAAAUAGACUUGUCUGUGAAGAUGCGGACUACCUGCACCAGGACAGAAAGACCCUAUGAAGCUUUACUGUAACUUGAGAUUGAAAUUGGACUUUACUUGCGCAGUAUAGGUGGGAGGCGUUGAUAAUAUUCUUGCGGGAUUAUUUGAGCCAUCAGUGAGAUACCACUCUUGUAAUGUUAGAUUUCUAACUUUGUAUCAUUAUCUGGUCAAAGGACAGUUUCAGGCGGGCAGUUUGACUGGGGCGGUCGCCUCCUAAACGGUAACGGAGGCGCACAAAGGUUUCCUCUGAACGGGUAGAAAUCGUAUCUAGAGUGUAAAGGCAUAAGGAAGCUUGACUGUGAGACCUACAAGUCGAGCAGGGACGAAAGUCGGUCUUAGCGAUCUGACGGUGCUGAGUGGAAAGGCCGUCACUCAACGGAUAAAAGUUACUCUAAGGAUAACAGGCUGAUCUCCCCCAAGAGUUCACAUCGACGGGGAGGUUUGGCACCUCGAUGUCGGCUCAUCGCAUCCUGGGGCGGUAGUACGUCCCAAGGGUUGGGCUGUUCGCCCAUGAAAGCGGUACGCGAGCUGGGUUCAGAACGUCGUGAGACAGUUCGGUCCAUAUCCGGUGUAGGCGUUAGAAUAUUGAGAGGAGCCUUCUUUAGUACGAGAGGACCGAGAAGGACAUACCUCUGGUGUACCAGUUAUCGUGCCAACGGUAAACGCUGGGUAGCUAUGUAUGGAGUGGAUAACCGCUGAAAGCAUCUAAGUGGGAAGCCCACCUCAAGAUAAGUAUUCUCAU
rnacentral:rRNA from 1 species